rnacentral:rRNA from 1 species
CCCUUAGAUGUUCUGGGCCGCACGCGUGCUACACUGAGUGGAUCAGCGGGUCAGGUUGCGAGAAAGUGUUUCCUAAUCUUUAAAUCCGCUCGUGAUGGGGAUUGACGGUUGCAAUUUUCCGUCAUGAACGAGGAAUACCUUGUAAGCGCGGGUCAUCAUCCCGCGCUGAAUACGUCCCUGCCCUUUGUACACACCGCCCGUCGCUCCUACCGAUUGAGUGGUCCGGUGAGGCUUUGGGAUCUGAGCGGAAAGAGCGUUUCGCUGUUUCUGCCCGGAAAACUCAGUCGAACCUUAUCAUUUAGAGGAAGGAGAAGUCGUAACA